AGAGUUUGAUCAUGGCUCAGAUUGAACGCUGGCGGCGUGCUUAACACAUGCAAGUCGAUCGGUAACGCGGGGGCAACCCUGGCGACGAGAGGCGGACGGGUGAGGAACGCUUGGGAGUCUGCCUAUCAGCGGGGGACAACCCGGGGAAACCCGGGCUAAUACCGCAUACGCUCUACGGAGGAAAGCCGGGGACCGCAAGGCCUGGCACUGAUAGAUGAGCCCAAGUCGGAUUAGCUAGUUGGCGGGGUAACGGCCCACCAAGGCGACGAUCCGUAGCUGGUCUGAGAGGACGAUCAGCCACACCGGAACUGAGACACGGUCCGGACUCCUACGGGAGGCAGCAGUGGGGAAUAUUGGACAAUGGGCGAAAGCCUGAUCCAGCGACGCCGCGUGGGUGAAGAAGGCCUGCGGGUUGUAAAGCCCUUUCGGUAGGGACGAAAGCUCUCGACCUAACACGUCGGGAGGUUGACUUAACCUACAAAAGAAGCACCGGCUAACUCUGUGCCAGCAGCCGCGGUAAUACAGAGGGUGCGAGCGUUAAUCGGAAUUACUGGGCGUAAAGCGCACGUAGGCGGCUUGGUAUGUCGGUUGUGAAAUCCCCGGGCUCAACCUGGGAACUGCAUCCGAAACUGCCUUGCUAGAGUAUGGGAGAGGGAAGUGGAAUUUCCGGUGUAGCGGUGAAAUGCGUAGAUAUCGGAAGGAACAUCAGUGGCGAAGGCGACUUCCUGGACCAAUACUGACGCUCAGGUGCGAAAGCGUGGGGAGCAAACAGGAUUAGAUACCCUGGUAGUCCACGCCCU
rnacentral:rRNA from 1 species